rnacentral:rRNA from 1 species
AUAUAUUUAACGGCUGCGGUAUUCUGACUGUGCUAAGGUAGCGUAAUCAAUUGUUUUUUAAUUGAAAACUUGAAUGAAAGGUUAAACAAAUUACCUUAGUUUGUGCAGCUUAGUUAGUAAAUUAAAGUCAAGGUAAGAAUUCUUUGAUUUUCUAGGGGACGAUAAGACCCUAGAAGCUUUAAAAAAGAAAAAUUUUUAGUAGUUAUAUAGAUUUUUUACUGGGGCGGUAUUAGUGUUUUAACUACUAAAAAUAGAGGUCGAUCCUUUAGAUAAAGAUAAUUCGGUGAAGUUACUUUAGGGAUAACAGUGCGGUAUUCUUGGAAAGGUCUUAUUAAUAAGAAUGUUCGCAACCUCGAUGUUGAAUUAAGAUGUCUACGUGGAGCAGUAAAUAC